CAAACUAAAGAUGGCGACCGGCGCACGGGUGAGUAACACGUAUCCAACCUGCCGAUAACUCGGGGAUAGCCUUUCGAAAGAAAGAUUAAUAUCCGAUAGUAUAUUUUCUCCGCAUGGCGAGAAUAUUAAAGAAUUUCGGUUAUCGAUGGGGAUGCGUUCCAUUAGUUUGUUGGCGGGGUAACGGCCCACCAAGACUACGAUGGAUAGGGGUUCUGAGAGGAAGGUCCCCCACAUUGGAACUGAGACACGGUCCAA
rnacentral:rRNA from 1 species